UGUGUCCUACGGGAGGCAGCAGUGGGGAAUAUUGCACAAUGGGGGAAACCCUGAUGCAGCGACGCCGCGUGGGCGACGAAGCGCUCCGGCGCGUAAAGCUCUGUCAGCAGGGAAGAAAGCAAUGACGGUACCUGACCAAGAAGCCCCGGCUAACUACGUGCCAGCAGCCGCGGUAAUACGUAGGGGGCAAGCGUUAUCCGGAAUUACUGGGUGUAAAGGGAGCGUAGACGGCUGUGCAAGUCUGGAGUGAAAGGCGGGGGCCCAACCCCCGGACUGCUCUGGAAACUGUAUGGCUGGAGUGCAGG
rnacentral:rRNA from 1 species